rnacentral:rRNA from 1 species
AUACGUAGGGGGCGAGCGUUGUCCGGAAUGAUUGGGCGUAAAGGGCGCGUAGGCGGCGCGGUAAGUCUGGAGUGAAAGUCCUGCUUUCAAGGUGGGAAUUGCUUUGGAUACUGCCGCGCUUGAGUGCAGGAGAGGUUAUCGGAAUUCCCGGUGUAGCGGUGAAAUGCGUAGAGAUUGGGAGGAACACCAGUGGCGAAGGCGACUUACUGGACUGUAACUGACGCUGAGGCGCAAAAGUGUGGGGAGCAAACAGGAUUAGAUACCCUGGUAGUCCACACUGUAAACGAUGAAUGCUAGGUGUAGGGGGUAUCGACCCCUUCUGUGCCGCAGUCAACACAAUAAGCAUUCCGCCUGGGGAGUACGGCCGCAAGGUUGAAACUCAAAGGAAUUGACGGGG